rfam:Clostridium sp. CAG:710 genomic scaffold, scf17
AUUGGUGAUUAUUGCUGAGAGGGUACACCUGUUCCCAUCCCGAACACAGAAGUUAAGCUCUCAUGUGCCGAAGAUAGUGUAUGCGAAAAUAGGUCAUUGCCAAUG